GUGCUCACUUUGGCAGCACACACACACACACACACACACACACACACACAAAUUGGAGACAGAAGUGCAGAGAAGAUCAGCAUGGCCCCUGUAUAAAGAUGAGAUGAAAAUAUUUUUCAUGUUCCAUAUUUUU
ensembl:snRNA U6 U6 spliceosomal RNA